rnacentral:tRNA from 1 species
GGACAGGUGGCAGAGCGGUUGAACGCGCUGGUCUCGAAAACCAGUUCACCCUUCGGGGUGACGUGGGUUCGAAUCCCACCCUGUCCG